rfam:Salmo salar isolate Sally breed double haploid chromosome ssa09, whole genome shotgun sequence.
UGGGGGCAAACUUGUAAGUCGCUCUGGAUAAGAGCGUCUGCUAAAUGACUUAAA